rnacentral:rRNA from 1 species
AACGAACGCUGGCGGCAUGCCUAACACAUGCAAGUCGAACGAAGGCUUCGGCCUUAGUGGCGCACGGGUGCGUAACGCGUGGGAAUCUGCCCUCAGGUACGGAAUAACUCAGGGAAACUUGAGCUAAUACCGUAUAACGACUUCGGUCCAAAGAUUUAUCGCCUGGGGAUGAGCCCGCGUCGGAUUAGCUAGUUGGUAGAGUAAAAGCCUACCAAGGCGACGAUCCGUAGCUGGUCUGAGAGGAUGAUCAGCCACACUGGGACUGAGACACGGCCCAGACUCCUACGGGAGGCAGCAGUGGGGAAUAUUGGACAAUGGGCGCAAGCCUGAUCCAGCAAUGCCGCGUGAGUGAUGAAGGCCCUAGGGUUGUAAAGCUCUUUUACCCGGGAAGAUAAUGACUGUACCGGGAGAAUAAGCCCCGGCUAACUCCGUGCCAGCCGCCGCGGUAACAC